rnacentral:rRNA from 1 species
GAAUGCUGACAUAAGUAACGAUAAAGCGGGUGAAAAGCCCGCUCGCCGGAAGACCAAGGGUUCCUGUCCAACGUUAAUCGGGGCAGGGUGAGUCGACCCCUAAGGCGAGGCCGAAAGGCGUAGUCGAUGGGAAACGGGUUAAUAUUCCCGUACUUGGUGUUACUGCGAAGGGGGGACGGAGAAGGCUAUGUUGGCCGGGCGACGGUUGUCCCGGUUUAAGCGUGUAGGUGUGUGUUCCAGGUAAAUCCGGUUCACUUUAACACUGAGGCGUGAUGACGAGGCACUACGGUGCUGAAGCAACAAAUGCCCUGCUUCCAGGAAAAGCCUCUAAGCAUCAGGUAACAUCAAAUCGUACCCCAAACCGACACAGGUGGUCA